GCUAGAGUUCGCCAAGGGAAUAAUACUAGAUCAUUGUGUCAUCUGGAGAAUAUCUUCUCGAGGGUUAGGGUUAGGUUUAUAAAUUACAUGUCAAACGUACAAAUUGAAGCUGUAACAACGGUGGAUUGUGGCUAAAACUAUUCUGAAGGGUUAGGGUUAGAUUUGUGGGUAUAAAUGUAACCGGGGGGUGUAAAUUCUCAAUAAAAACUAAGGUGGUUAGUUUUUAAACCUUUAUUAAAAACCCUGAAAUAUAUAUACGUUAAAAUUAAUAUACAUAUCACAGUAACAGUUGAGUACAAUAAAAUAAUAGUAAGGCAUGCAUAUUGGUACUCAAUGAAAUAUAUCAAUAAUUUAUACACUAAAAUACAUCACUAAUUAAAUUAAACAUAUUAAACAGGCCUUAAGUUUAUACUAAAUAUAAUAUAAGUAAUUGAUAACAUACCCAAAGAAGGGGUUUUUAAAUAAGACUAUCAAGAUGGUGAACAAAAUCUUCAGAUAACUAUAUUCUGGAAAAUAACAUUAUUCUGAUUAUACAUACAAUAUACUUUCAAAACGGUACCUUAUAAUCUACUAUAUAUAUGUAUAUAUGAAAAACUAAUGAUCUUUACAUGUUAUUUUCUAUCUAUUUAAAUAAAAUGGUUGCUUAAUAUUACAAUUUCUAUCAUUCCUACAUCCGCUCCAUCUAAACCCCAAUUACCCAAAAUAAGAGAAUUAGCACACAUACCUGUAAUACUGAAGUAGUAUAACUGGAACAAUUCUCUGAAAAUAACCUAACUAGAUUUGGAAAAUAAAGUUAAACAAUUUGAUUGAAGAUAUCAAAUUGUCCUUACACUUCGAAAUCUAUCUAAUGUCUGAUGUCUAAAGUGAGGUUCAGAUAAAAAGAAAACUUGCUUGUAACCAAGGGAGUAGAAUUGUACUCACCCCAAGAUUUGGGCUCUAAGAAAACAGUACAGGUUAACAAGCCAAGUUAAAGGAGAGAUAUUAUUAUAGACCAGUUGCAAUUAAAAUUAGUGUCAGUUUGUUAGUUUAAAGGUGCACUCACUCAAUACACUAUAUUACUUGACAUAAUAAAACCUAUAAACAUAUUAAAAUUCCGCUUCGCUACAUAAACACUGACAGAUAUUCUACAGAUCGGUCAAGAUCCAGUUAUCGGUUUGCAGUAGAGGUUUUGGAAAUCUCGUUAAAAAAUCAACAGUAAAAAAAUAUUUUGAGAAAAAAAAAUGGAUAUGAUAUAUAAAACAAACUGAACAAGUUGGAUCAGGAAAGACUAUCACAAUGCCUAGAAGAAAAAGGUGCAAAUGGAUUAAAAAUUUACAACAACAUUGGUGUAAAUGGCGUGAUAGCAUUGCAAAUGAACCCCUUCCUGAUUCAACAAAUGAACCCCUUCCUGAUUCAACAAAUGAACCCCUUCCUGGAUCACAAGAUCAACCUGGAUCACGAGUUGAACCCCUUCCGGGAUCAAUAGAUGAACCCUUUCCUGGAUCACGAGAUGAACCCCUUCCGGGAUCACCGGAUCAACCCCGUCCUGCUUCAAGAGAUCAACUGAUUACUGUGUAGCAAUGUCAAAGGACAAGAACGUGGCCAUUAAUCAAGCUCUUCACAACAAAUUAACCACGUACAGAUAUAAGGCGAGGUGUAGGGCAACAAGUCCUGAAUACUGAUCAUUGACAGUGCUUAUCUAGAUGAAAUUAUGGAUGACGAAACCCCCGUGCUUAUUGAAGGAGUCAAGUCGCUAACUAACUCAAUAUCAUCCAGUCUUCGACAAUGCAAACAGAAACGAUUGAUGUUUCAGUCAAAAUGAAAAUAUUAACAUUGGCACUUGAAUUGCGUGUAGAAUGCUUCGGGUACCAUUUGCAUUAAGGGACUCGAUGAAGGAGACUUAAUAUAUCCCACGUAGAAGAAUAUCACCUUUUAAAUUCAGACCCUUCGCGUAAUUCGUCAAACAUAACUGAUUAUAAAUUACAGUAUGAUAGAAACGAUUGAAUGUAAAUCAGGUUAUAUAUAUUCAUAAUACAUUAUUAUGUGUUGCGACCUAUUUGUGUCCAUUACUGGGUGCCACAGAAUAGAGAUUUAGCUCUUUCUGGGUUGAUUGCAUAUUAUAUUCAAAUACUAGAUUGGUGGGGAAAACCCGUUCUUAUUUAAUCAAGAUGCUGAGUUGGUGGAGAGAUUUAAGGCCAAGAGUAGCGGAAAGAUAUCAGUAGAAUAAACCACAAGUUCCAAAUACCGAUUAUUGAUAGUGCUUUUAUUGCUGGGUUUGUGGGGGAAACACCGGAUUGUUUAGUUAAAGUGCUGGAUGGUGGGGGAUACCCUGUGAUUAUUUAAUAAAUAUACUGGGUUGGCGGGGAACCCCGGGCUUGUUUAGUUAAAAUAUUGGGUUGGUGGGGAAAUCCCGGGCCUGUUUAGUUAAAAUACUGGGUUGUUGAGGAAAAUAAAUUUAUCUUUAAAUUGAA